rnacentral:misc_RNA from 1 species
UCUCUCUCUCUCUCUCUCUCUUAGUUCUAGUUGUAAAAGCAAAGGUUUAUCCUCAAUAAUCAUUACUUUAUAGUGGUGCUAGGUUCAAAGUAUGGUGCGGCUGAGAGAUGAUGGUAAUUUGGUGGAACAAAGAAUUUAAUGGCAUGAAAAUCAAUUUGUUUGUUAAUGGUGGUGGUUUGUUGCUAAAAUACUAACUUAGGUUCCAUGAGUUGCAGUUUUAGCAGGAAUCAUACUGAGAUCCAUGGAGAAAUACAGAUCUUCGAAGUAAAUGGUGUUGGCUCAUUAUAAAUGCACUGGGUUGGUUUUGUAGUUGAUAGCAAUCGAGUGAAUCCAAAAUCAACUCCCUAGAAUAUUGCAAAAUGUAACCCUUAAAUGCAUUGGGUUGGUUUGUAGUUGAUACUAAUGAUGACCAGACUCCCUUGAAUCUUGCAAAAUGUAACCCAAACCAACUCGUGCUUGUGUGAACCCAAGUAGGUCAGUAUCUUCUAAUGACAUUAUUAACAAGAAACGAAAUGCAUAUUCCAACGAUAUUGUAAACAAAAGAAUUGUGUCAAGCUGAUGGCAAAAGUGAAAAACGGUGUGCAAGAAAUAUGGUUUAGAAAUGUGAAAAUGCAGAGUAAACUUUUAAUUCCCCAUUUCACCAUAAAGAAACUGCAUAUGCCUUAUUCUUUGGCAAGUGUAACUUGAAUCCUUUCUGGUUUCAUUUUAUAAUAACUGCAAUUAUUUAUCCUUUUUUUUUUGAAGAAAAAAAAUUUAGUUCUUAUUUGUUUUCCAGUCUUUUGAUAUUUUAAAACCAUUUUUCAGACCCUCUUAUUGCUUUUAAACA